GAUGAACGCUGGCGGCGUGCCUAAUACAUGCAAGUCGAGCGAACGGACGAGAAGCUUGCUUCUCUGAUGUUAGCGGCGGACGGGUGAGUAACACGUGGAUAACCUACCUAUAAUACUGGGAUAACUUCGGGAAACCGGAGCUAAUACCGGAUAAUAUUUUGAACCGCAUGGUUCAAAAGUGAAAGACGGUCUUGCUGUCACUUAUAGAUGGAUCCGCGCUGCAUUAGCUAGUUGGUAAGGUAACGGCUUACCAAGGCAACGAUGCAUAGCCGACCUGAGAGGGUGAUCGGCCACACUGGAACUGAGACACGGUCCAGACUCCUACGGGAGGCAGCAGUAGGGAAUCUUCCGCAAAGGGCGAAAGCCUGACGGAGCAACGCCGCGUGAGUGAUGAAGGUCUUCGGAUCGUAAAACUCUGUUAUUAGGGAAGAACAUAUGUGUAAGUAACUGUGCACAUCUUGACGGUACCUAAUCAGAAAGCCACGGCUAACUACGUG
rnacentral:rRNA from 1 species